AAUCAAGCAUUUCCUCAAGAUCAACAUUUUGAAGAUCACCUUGAAUCUUUUGAAGAUACUCUUAUCUUGGCCAUGAAGAUGACUCAAAGCAAUUUUGAGGUGAUGAAGGCAAACCAAGAGGUGUCAAGCGAACGUCAUGAAGCCUCCAUCAAACAUCUCGAAAACCAAAUGGGUCAACUAGUAAGACAAGUCUCUUCUCUACAAACUCAAAGUGGUUUUUGUGGAAACACCACGGAUCCUCGUAAUGAAAGUUGUGAUUCCAUUAAUUUGAGAAGUAGAGAAGUUUCAUCACAAAAAGUAGUGGAGAAUCCUAAGAAUGAUGAGAGUAAAAAUGGUGUAGUUGAAAAGAUGAAGGAUGGUGUAGUUGAAAAUAGAAGAGAAAUUAAGAAAGAAGAAAAAAGUAAGGA
rnacentral:lncRNA from 1 species